rnacentral:lncRNA from 1 species
AGGGGGCAGGGUGGAUGAGGUAAUACCAGGUUGCGACAGGUCCACACGACUAGCUCAGUCAACGAGACCACCUGCUCAAAUGCAAUCUGUGUGUAUGACACUGUGCGAUGUGCAGAAGGAACUUCCGUGACUUCGUGGGCCUUAAGGAAUGGAGCCAUCGGAGGAAACCAACCGAACAAAGUGCUUGAACAAUUCAUGUGACUAACAAAUGCACUCGUUGAAUAUUUCUUGCACUCAUGUAUUCAAAAAUAUUUAUAGAGUGGGCACCUUGGCCAUAUUUUUUUCUAAGUACUGAACUUAGCAAGGUAAGAGUCAUAUUUGACAUGGGCAGAAGAGUUUCCAGGGAAAAGAGGUGCCUGGCCGGAACAGUUUCAAGAGGAAAAUGGAGAAGAGAAACAAGAGAUGGGAAGAUGGCACAAAGUCUUUCAAGGGGUUUUAUUU